rnacentral:rRNA from 1 species
AUUGAACGCUGGCGGCAUGCCUUACACAUGCAAGUCGAACGGCAGCACGGGAGCAAUCCUGGUGGCGAGUGGCGAACGGGUGAGUAAUAUAUCGGAACGUGCCCAGUCGUGGGGAUAACGUAGCGAAAGCUACGCUAAUACCGCAUACGAUCUAUGGAUGAAAGCGGGGGAUCGCAAGACCUCGCGCGAUUGGAGCGGCCGAUAUCAGAUUAGGUAGUUGGUGAGGUAAAGGCUCACCAAGCCGACGAUCUGUAGCUGGUCUGAGAGGACGACCAGCCACACUGGGACUGAGACACGGCCCAGACUCCUACGGGAGGCAGCAGUGGGGAAUUUUGGACAAUGGGCGCAAGCCUGAUCCAGCAAUGCCGCGUGCAGGAUGAAGGCCUUCGGGUUGUAAACU